UUUAUUCUGUCAUUCUCUGAAUUAUAUUUUCAGAUAUUAUCAAUUCCUCGGCGAUCAUCUAUCUUUCUAAAUGAUCUUCACCCGAGGUAAUCCAAUCAACUAGCCUAUGCCCCGUAACAUUGCUCAUGAUUUUUUUUUGCAUGAUCUUUAUCUUGAUCUACAUGCUAGAAGUGUGUAUAUGGUUUAUGGUUUAUAUGGCUAUGCUUUAUGUGCUUGCAUGGUAUAUAUCCAUAUCCUUAUAUGCUUUGAUUGCUAGAUGAGUACUAGAGAUGUGAUAUGUGCGUAUGAGUAUGGAAUCUGAUGAUUCACUCUAGUCAAAUGAAUAAACUUGUCGAAAGUACAUAGAUGCCAACUUAAAAAUAAUGGUACAAGACCUUAACCGAACACUUACUUUAUUUGCACCUGUUGAGCCCCCAUGCCUAGCUUAGACAUGGAUUAGAUACAUUCAUACUUUCCUGCGGUUACUAUGCCUCACACUGUGCGGUAGUGAUUGCUGAUGGCUUACAACAACCGUUUUAUAUAUUGAUUGCACUAUGACUAUUAUCCUUAGAUGGAGUGUGGUUGUUAUGUUAUAUAGUGAUGUUGUCCUUUGUCAUGAUUAUCCAUCAUUAUAAAAAUGUGAUGAACCUGAUUUAUUUAUUGUCAUGAUAAAGAACACACCUAAUCAACACAACCGCCUCCAUUAGGUAGAUCGAGUCAUAGUGCCGCUCAACCGAGAUAAAUAAAUGCGACCACAUUUGCCUUACCUAGGAAGGCCCUAACCUAAUAUAUCACCAAACCUCUUAUUUUCAUCCUCAUUGGGUACGACUAGAUGACGUACAUUGCCUAGGCCAGGUGAGCAACGUCUAACUUAUGGGUGCGUUGGACAAGUAGUUGUUAUUGAGUACUCGAAUCUAGUUAAACCGGUCACGGUCAGGAAUGCCCUGGGGCAUUGGGUCCAUAUAUGCGCCCCCAUGACAUUGUUGUCGAUGAUGCUAUAGACGUGUUAUGAUGGUAGAACCGGUUUGUUGGAGUAACAUUUGUCCACUCGCGAGGGAAGUGUAUCGAGAUACAAGACAAAGAGGGGGACUUCAUGGUGUGGGUACAAUAUACAACCUCUGCAGAGUCUUAGCCUAUUCGAAUAGCUGCCUCCUCGAUUAUGGACACAAUUUGCAUUUGGCCACACUAUUUAUUUCGUCUGUGUCGAGUUUGGAGGUAUGAACAUCUUUAAAUAUAAGAUUGCACGUGAACAAACUUGAAAUAGGGGAUAUGUCAUAAUUUUGUGCAGGAACUGGAUGACAUGACAUGUCAUGACUUGGUAUGUUAGCCAUGAUAUGGCUAGGAGACCGAUGAUAUUGAUUGGUAGGAAAACAUGAGAAUGAUCUUGAGUGAUAAUAAGAAUAAACCUGAAUAAGAUGCAUUUGCAGGAACAUGCUUUAUCCUCGUUAUAUUAUAUUUAGUUCAGUUAUCUUGACAGAUAUGUUAGUGAUUUCUUGAUAGCUAGACUUGCCGUGAUACUAUUUAUGCUUGCCAUGCCAUGUUAACUAUAAUUGUUAAGUUAAAUUUUUGCAGAUUAUGUUGGUAGGUCAUGUUUUCUUUUUCUUUUCUUUUUUUGCAGGGGAGGUCAUGUUUUCUUUGCUUGGGAUAUACUAUGUUAUUUGAUUGAGCUUGCAGUACAUUAAAAGUACUCACAAGACUUUUAACGUGGGCAUCUUCAACUAAUAUGCAGCUAGAGUGUUCGUGUGCUAGAAGAUUAAUCCAGCUAGUCAUGUGCGUUUAUAGAGCCCAUCCAUGAGCCAUUGUAACCACUGAAGUCUUCCGCUGCGAUAAUUUAAGCCACUGGUCUAUUACGACAAUGUCGUAUAAACAAUCUUGCAAUAGCUCUGUAAACCUGAGAAUAUAUUGUCGUUAGCAUUUCCAUGUCAUGAACUCAGUCAUGCAUGCUCGUUAUCCUGGGCUGAGGUAUGGAAGUGCCCUCAAGGGUAUGAGACAGUCACCAUCAUCCGAACCGAUGAAGAUCGGUAAAGGGAUUUCUCUCCCAAAGAUGCCUUGCCACCAACUUCCCUUUCCGGCCACAAAACGGAUUCCCCAUACACAUUAGGUUGUGUUUCUAACAAAAAAGGUGUGCACCGACGCUCACUGCCCUUCUUCUUUGACCUCCACGACGACGAGGAAAGUGGGUCGAGCUGUUGCUGAAGCCAUGUACGAAGGUUCAUGUAUAACGAGUACAUGCCUACUGUCAGAUCCUUGUAUCUUUUUUUUUUGGUAAAAUCUGCGUGUGGUUUCCCACAAUAAUAUCUAUGGAAACCCAAGUACCUUCAACGAGUAAGAUUUUCUUUUGGUUAUAAUGACCAAAAAAAGUAUCUUAACUAAGGAUAACUUGUUGAGAUGAGUCUGGAAAGGAAGUAAAAUUUGUGUUUAUUGUGGACAGGGUUAAUGUAUUGAUCAUUUGUAUUUUCAAAAGGCUAACUUGGAGCCUCAUGAAAUGUGUUUUUGCUCUUAAUUCUACUCUUGUUAACCUGAGUGGUUGUUCUGGUAGGACCUGCAGCAAUGUUCUGGUAGGACAUGCAGAUACGGAUGAGGAAGAAACCCUCCCGCCGUCGAGGCCCGAGGAUAUCAUCGACGUGGCCGGUUGCUUGAUCUUGCUGACGAAACCAGACUUCCAUCCAUGCCCUACUGUGCCUUUUUCGGUUUUCAAAUUACAGUUCGUCUUGUUAGUGGUGUGAACAGUUGUCGUUAUGGGCACGCGUCCUUUUACCGCGCUGUGAUGAUAUUACGUUCCACACGCAGUUGUCCACAAGUCCAUUGUCGUCCAGCCCGGUUAGGAUACCUGGCUUUCACCCAGGCGACCCGGGUUCAAAUCCCGGCAAUGGAGAUUUUUUUUCUUCCAGUUUUAUCUUUUUUACUAUUAUAAUAAAACACGAGGUCGUCGGAGCAGAGCUGAGCCAGCGCAUCGCCCGUAGCUUUGCUCGGCACAGACACAACAAAGGGUAAGGCAGCAAGCAACCGUACCAAUUUCUUCGGAGUUUCUAAAACGUUUUGGAUUUUUGGCUAAUUCUCAUUCGACUGAAUCUCGAUUUCACUCUCAGUCGAGUUUUGAACCGCCUGAUCGUCGUCCCCGGAUCUUUGCGCGCACCCGCACCCGCACCGUGUGGGUUGUCCGUCGCUCCGCUUUCAGGUGCACUUUUGGCCGCGGUACACAGUGGCGUUCAGCGCUGCUCAGUUCGUCCUUGUGCCAGCGCAGGCGGGAGGCGGUGGAGUGAGGCGAGCUGCUGUGGAGCUAACGGAGGGGGGCGGAGGCUGCCGUCGCGUCAAGCGGCGGAGGAGGAGAUGGUGGGGAUCGAGAGGACUCCAGCGGGGCUCUCCCUCACCGUGCGCGCCACAAGCUUGCAGUUGUAGUGGCCCGCGGGGAGGAACCGUCUGAGCGUCGCCGGCCCGAGAUAGGCACGGCGAGCCCUCUCCCUCCCCAUGCUGCUCAAUGCUUUCUCCUCUCGCUCGCUCGUCCCGCUUCGAUUUUUUGCACCCACCUCUCACUCUCAGCGCGGCCGGCUUUGUCGAAAAACCUCUCGGCGCGCCUGCAUCCUCUUCCCCUUCUCGUCGCUUCACCGUCAGUUCAUCACUGAUCCGACGGGGAGCUAAGUAUGUCAGGGAUCAAAAACCUGAGGCGCGCGGCAAAUGUCUGUCCGCUGCCUUUUGUUCAGGGACAACGUGAGUCGGUUCUUUUUGUCCGUAGGCAGUGCUGGUGAUUUGAUUCAGUUCAUUGAUGAGAGCUAGGUAGGAUGUAAUAUUAUUCAGGUCAGUGUUUUCUCCACGCAUUCAGCAUAUGCUUCAUUCCAUUUUCUAGCAGCUUACAAUAUUGUUAAGGAUCGACCUCAACUUUGUCAUGUCGUGUAAAAAACACAACAAAAUUUGCUGGAAUUUGGUGUGGCAUCUUGAGUUACUGACAAAAGUUUGCACUGAAAAAUGUCAAGCUUAGCAGAGGAGAAGAUGGAGCAACGGCCACUCGAACUAUAUGCUCUAGAAGAUGGAGCAAUGGCCACUGAGAAAUGUCAGCCGUCACCUCGUUUUGUUCUCUACCUAUUCAGUUCAUUGACGAGUGCUAGUUUGCAGGGUCCUAUUUUCAGUUUGUACUGUAAUUCUAGUCAUUCUGUCGAACAGCUCUCAUGCGCCAUGAGGAGGCCAGAACUGGGUGGUCGCAUGACGCAUCAACCGGAGGCGCUGGACGAGGCCAUGGUGCCGCGCUCCGCCACGCUGGGCACCAACGCCAGCGUCGUGCUGCCGGGCAAAGAUGGAGGACGCACGCUUUCGUGCCCCGAAGCCGCCGCCCCUUGUCAUCCCGGCACGCGUCCGCAGCUUGGUAGGCGCUCACACGACUCCGGGCUCCCCUUGACCAUCCGGGCCGCCGACACCCACGCCGGAGGCCACCACCCUCGUGCUUACGGUGAUGUAUGUUGGCCGAUAAAGCCACGGCGAUCGUGUCGGGUGCGCGUGCACGCGCCGGGCGCAUCGGGUGCGGACCGGACCGAGCCGGAUCCGUGGCAAGGGGGUGCGUGUGUGCGUGCGUGUAGUGGCCUGGAGUGCGCACGCGUGUGUGUGCACCCAGCGGGCGUGUGUAGGAUUAGGUGCAGACAGUUGAGGGAUCGCGAGGCGGGCGUGAUCGCCGCGAGCCGUGCGCGUUCGUGCGCGUGGUGGCCGCGAGCGGAGCGGGCCGAUCGGGGCGCCGGCUCGCCUGGGUCGUGCCCAGCGCAGGCCCAGCUAUAUAAUGCCUCGAGCUGAACAUUGUAACUGUCUGAAGAGGGUCCACCUCGUACUUAAAACACGGAGGGGCGAUUGGGGCGAUCGCAAGGCGAUCGUCGCGAGAGCUAGGGUUAGGGUUUUGCGAGCGGUGGUGGUUGUUUUUCCGGCGGCACGGGAGGGAUCGACGGCGAUCCUGAGCGUGUGGGUCGGUGUGACGCUAUCUCUCCGGUGGGAAGACCAUGGCGGAGAGGACGAAGGAAGGAGUUGCGGAGCCGCGGAGCGCCACGAAAGCUGCAACGGAGGCGGGGACGCCGGGGCCGCAACCGCAGGGAACGUCGACGGCAACACCAAGACCGCCGCCACAGAAGGAGACACCCGCUGGAUCGAUGAGAACGCCACUGGGCUCUCACAGCAGGAACAAUUCUGUAUCUCCAGUAGAUGGAAAAGCGACGGUGAUCUCGGCGGGACUGACGGCUCGGCUGGGUGGUCUGGUGCUAACGGAGAAGGAGUCUAAGGGGUUUGUCUUCAAGGAAUCUGAACAGGAACGUGCGCGUCCGCCGAAGUGGUCGGCNNNNNNNNNNNNNNNNNNNNNNNNNNNNNNNNNNNNNNNNNNNNNNNNNNNNNNNNNNNNNNNNNNNNNNNNNNNNNNNNNNNNNNNNNNNNNNNNNNNNNNNNNNNNNNNNNNNNNNNNNNNNNNNNNNNNNNNNNNNNNNNNNNNNNNNNNNNNNNNNNNNNNNNNNNNNNNNNNNNNNNNNNNNNNNNNNNNNNNNNNNNNNNNNNNNNNNNNNNNNNNNNNNNNNNNNNNNNNNNNNNNNNNNNNNNNNNNNNNNNNNNNNNNNNNNNNNNNNNNNNNNNAUGAAUAAGCGAGCCUUGGAGAUGUCAAUGGCAAGGGCGUGGGGGCUACAUAGGGAAGCCCAGUUCAAGAUCAUUGGGAGAAAUCUUUUCUCGGUGGCGUUCGGAAGUGAAGGAGAUUGGAGACACGCCCUAAACAACGGCCCAUGGCAAUUUGACAUCAAUGUUCUAAUUCUCAAGGAUUAUGAUGGUGUAACUAGACCGUCGGAGAUGACUUUCGAAACAGUGGAUAUGUGGGUUAGGGUCGACGAUCUGCCCCUGGACAAACGCUCGAAGGCUUUUGGGGAAGCACUUGGAAAUUGGCUGGGCAAGAUCAUGCGUGUGGAUGUAGAGAAAGAUGGCUUUGCGAAGGGCUCCGAACUGCGUUUCAGAGCUAAACUCUCAGUCUUCGAGCCGUUAGUGAGGGUUUCUAUCUUAAGAAGGAUGAAGAUGACCUGGAGCAAACAUGGUUUGAUUUUAAGUACGAAAGGAUCCCACAUUUCUGCUUUGAGUGUGGUAGGCUUGUUCAUGGCGCAGGUGGGUGCACUCCGGCCGUGGAGCCGGAUCAGCAGUGGGGAGAGUGGCUCAGGGCCUCGCCGGGGCGUUCAUCGGGACCAAAAGAGGGAUCUCACCGUGCCCCUUCUGGAAGUGCCAAUAGCUAUGGGAGUGUGAGGUCGAGCGACGGUGAAAGGAACGGAAGGAAGACCGGAACAGUCCCCGAUCUUCCCACCAAACGUAACCUGCAAAGGGAGUUCACUACCCCAGCUGCAUCCCACACUGGUGGGGGCGGUAGAGGAGAAUAUGAGGGUGUUUCAAGUCCAAACACACAGAGGCAUGGUGAGAAUGCAUCCCGGGAACGGGACCUUCGUGAUGACUUGGAGCUGAGACGGGAGAGAGUGUUGCGAUCUGAACUGAGGCAGCGGCAGCAGGAGAAGCAGGCGGAUAUCAGAAAUAAGUACAAGCAGCAGGAUUCGCGUAACAAUGAUGCUGCUGAGAGCUCGGACAGAUUCAGAGGGCGAGAACGCAGGCAGGGAUACUAUAUGCACCAACCUAGGUCUGGGAACUAUACGGAACAGCGUCCCCCUCUUAGCCCAAGACAUGAAUUCAAAGGAGAAAGGAAGAGGUGGCCGAAACAGCAGUGGGUGGUUAAAGGAGACGUGGACAUGCAGGUUGGUAAUGAUAUCUUCAUUCGCGAGACGAGGCAAAAAACCUCUUCUGUGUUUGAUCGUAUCUCUAAGCAACACGACGAAGCGGCGGUCCCUGCCAGGCAGGGCCGUCGGACGCCAUGAAUCUCCUGGCCUGGAACUGUCGAGGCUUGGGGUUGGACUCGACAGUUGGCGAAUUAAGAGACCUAAUACGGUCCUACAACCCAGUGGUGGUUUUUCUUUGUGAAACGAAGAAAACGGCGAGAGCAAUGGAGCGACUCCAGUGGAGCAUGGGAUUUAAUCGAGGGGUAGCGGUAGACUGUCAAGGGAGGAGUGGGGGUCUGGCUCUAUGGUGGAGAGAUCAUCUUCAAGUUACCGUUCGUCCGUGGAGCCAGUACUUUAUUGAUGCAGAGGUGAUGUGGGAGGGAAAAACUUGUAGGAUCACUGGAUUCUACGGGUAACCUCGAACGGAACUACGCAAGAAAUCAUGGGAUGCUAUUAGAUACUUGCGAGCUCAAGACGAUCUGCCGUGGAUAUGCAUGGGUGAUUAUAAUGAAGCCUUGUUUCUUUCUGACCAGAUUGGUGGUAACCCAAGACCUUUCAUGCAAAUGGAAGAUUUUCGCGACUGUCUUGCUGAUUGUGGCUUGGCAGACUUGGGGUUCUCGGGCUAUCAAUAUACAUGGGAUAAUAAGAGGGAUGGUGUGGAAAAUAUUCAGGUGCGGUUAGAUCGAGCCACUUGUACUGAUUCCUUCUUACGAAUGUUCCCGGAGACAACAGUUGAGCACAUCAUGACCGAAGAGUCUGACCACCAAGCUUUGCUGGUCCGGGCGCUGGAGACGGCUCCGCAUGGGGAUGGGCCAAGAGAGAGAGCUUUCAGAUUUGAGGAAGCUUGGACUCGCCACGAAACAUAUCAAGAAAUGUUUGAGGAAGCGUGGGAGGCAACACAAACGGGCGACCAAGGUAUAGCUGUUGUGUGGCAAAGACUCAAAGGCACGACGGGGGCGAUGCAAAGGUGGGCACGGGAAGUAUUUGACUCGAUCAGAAGGCAGAUUGCAAAGUUAAAAGGACAGCUGAGUGAUGCCAAGGUGAGAGCUCUUUCGACUGGACACUCACUGGAGGUCCUUGAGAUUGAAGCGCAGCUUAAGGAAAUCUAUACACGUGAGGAGAUUAUGUAUAAGCAGAGGUCACGUGUUGACUGGUUAAGUGCGGGAGAUUAGAACACAAAAUAUUUUUAGAGCCGUGCUACUCAUAGGAAAAAGAAAAACACAAUCAAAGCCCUUCGAAGGGAGGAUGGAACUAGAUGUACAGUGGAUGAACAAAUGAGAGAAAUGGCGGCAGGUUUCUACGAGGGGCUGUUUACCUCGGAUGGUACGUCAGGUGCCAAUGCAUUGUUACAGAAUAUUCAUCAAGUGGUCUCUCCGGACAUGAACAAUGCGCUUACCGCCCCUAUCACUAAUGACGAGAUACAUGCAGCUCUGUUCCAAAUGGGGCCAACGAAGGCGCCCGGUCCGGACGGGCUCCCGGCUCUUUUCUACCAGCGGCAUUGGCCGCAGGUCCGUGAUGAUGUGUGUCGGGCUGUGAGGGAUUUCUUGGGUGGUGUGGCCGCCCCGGAGGAUUUUAAUGAUACGGUCAUUGUUAUGAUUCCUAAGACCAACUCACCGGAGUUGUUGUCUCAGUUCAGACCAAUUAGUCUGUAACGUGUUUUAUAAGAUUGCUACCAAAGUUUUGGCAAAUAGAUUGAAAGGCAUUCUCCCCAUUCUUAUCUCAGAGGAGCAAAGCGCGUUUGUACCGGGUCGUCUCAUCACUAACAAUGUCCUGGUUGCAUAUGAGUGUGUUCAUGCAAUACGGACUAGGAAAAGGAAGAAACCAUUGUGCACGGUAAAACUGGACAUGAUGAAGGCAUAUGAUAGGGUAGAAUGGGUGUUUUUGCGACAGAUGUUAGAGCAGUUUGGUUUUGCACCACGAUGGAUUAUGAUGAUCAUGAGAUGUGUCACCACAGCUAAUUUCUCUGUCAAGUUGAAUGGUGCUUGCUCCAGGAGGUUUUCACCAUCCCGGAGGCUACGGCAGGGUGACCCGCUCUCUCCAUACCUCUUUCUCUUUUUGUGUUGAGGGUUUCUCGGCGCUGCUGAAGAGGGCACAAGAAGACGCCAAGAUCAAAGGGGUGACGUUUGGGAGCACUGGCCCCCAUGUCACUCACCUCCUUUUUGCGGACGACAGCAUAGUUUUUCUGGAAGGAUCGAGGGACAAUAUGGUGGCCUUAAAGGAGAUUUUAAAUAGUUAUGAAGCGGCUUCGGGGCGACGUGUGAAUUUACAGAAAUCCUCAAUAUUUUUUGGCAAGGGGUGUGGAGAGAAUACAAAGGCAGAGUUGAAGAGUGCACUUGGAAUUGAUUCAGAAGCUCUGAGUGAACGCUAUCUUGGGCUGCCAACACUGGUUGGUCGUUCAAAGGAGGGCACUUUCAAGUAUGUGACGGAAAGUUCCAAGUCAAAAGUGAGUGGCUAUAAGGGCCAAGGUUUGUCCAAAGCGGCGAAGGAGGUUUUGGUGAGAUCCGAACUCUAAGUUGUACCUACUUUCACCAUGAGUUGUUUUCAGCUCACUAAGAAAACGUGCCGGAAUCUGACUUCGAUCUCUUCAAAAUUCUGGUGGGGUGAAUCAAAUGGUGAAAGGAAAGUACAUUAGAUCUCUUGGCAAAAAAUGUGUGCUGCAAAAAGAGUUGGGGGUUUAGGGUUUCGGGAUCCAGAGGGCUUCAACCAAGCAUUGCUAGCAAAACAAGCGUGGAGGAUUUUGCAAGAACCGAACUCACUAUGCGCAAGGGUCCUCAAGGCCCGCUAUUUCAAGGAGCAAUCUAUCAUGACGGCCACAUGCCCUUCCAACGCCUCCUACACCUUUCGCAGUGUGCUGCAUGGGAGAGAUCUCUUAAGGGAGGGAACAAUAUGGCGCAUAGGAGACGGGUCGAAGGUGAAUAUUCAUCACGAUAACUGGAUUCCGAGGCAGGGAAGUUUGAAGCCAUUGGGCCAACUCUUCAUACCCGGUGUGGCAAGGGUGGCAGAUUUGUUAACUCUCGACGGCCGUUCAUGGGACGCAGCAAAGGUGGAUGCCAUGUUUAGUCCGACUGAUGCAGCGGAUAUCAAACACAUCGCUAUUGGGGGUCCGGAAGAACAGGAUUACAUGGCCUGGAACUACACAAAAAAUGGGUGUUUUACUGUCAAAUCUGCAUACCACCUGAGAAAGGCGAUGGGAAGAACGAGGACCGGACAGCUGGAAUACAGUGACUGCACACAAGGGGUUCAUGGCGCUGUGGGACACAUGUGCACCGGCAAAAGCAAAGAUUCAUAUGUGGCGUUUGAUUAAAAAUGGGCUGGCUGUGGGGUUCGAACUACAUCGACGACGGAUUAAACCGGGUGUUUUUUGUGUUGCAUGCGAAAGAGAAGAAACCAACUAUCACUGGUUUUGGGCAUGCCAACAUUCAGCAAGGUUCUGGCAGCUCUUCCACUCAGAGAAGGGAGUUGCGGUGGCGAUCCCACCGUGCACGACGGACUCCCAGAGUACUCUAGCUCGCUGGCUCCUCGAUUGGUUUGCCGGGGCAUCUGAUGAAGACCGAGAGGUUAUGGUGCAUUCGGUGUAUGGCCUCUGGCUCGCUCGGAAUGAUGCUCGAGAUGGUAAGCCGAUCGCCACAACACAUGAAAUAAUGAACUCUGUUUUUUCCCACAUGAAGGAAUGGAGGGAGAUACAUCCACAAAAGCCGGGUGCGCCUGUUAGGCAAGAACCACAGCACUGGGAGCCUCCUGACGAGGGAUGGGUUAAAGUAAACUCAGAUGGUGCAGUGUCAAAAUUUGGAGCAAAAGGGGGAGGAGGAGCAGUUCUUAGAGAUCACAAUGGUGCCUUUCUGGCAGCUACCUGUCAUCAUUUCCCAAACAUUAUGGAUCCGGAAGCUACUGAGGUCUUGGCGUGUCGACGUGCUUUGCAGGUAGCAGCAGACAUUAACGCAAUAAGAGUUCAUCUGGAGUUGGAUGCUCAAGCUGUGGUGAAUAUGCUGAAACAUUCAGCGAGGAAUCUGUCGGCUAACGGCCCUUGGAUUGAGGAGGUGAAAGCUCUUCUUGGGUCCUUCGUCGAGUACAAGAUUUUUUGGGUUCGGCGUUCUGCUAAUAUUGCCGCGCAUAAAUUAGCUAAAGUAGGUGUUGGUGAUGAAUUGUGUAAGGUGUGGUUGGGGGUCCCCCAGACUUUGCUAUUUCUGUAAUCGCGGAUGACAUUCCGGGGUUUGAGUUUUAAAUAAAUGCGGCAAUAUUUACCCUAAAAAAAACUGUCUGGUGGGUCGAGUUCGUGCUCGAGAGAAACAAGGAUCGUCGUUGCUGCGGCGGGGCGUAGCGUACGUGCGCCAGAAAGUCCACCGUGUCCACUGCUCCUUCUCCUUCCUCCUUUAUUCUUCGUUGUGCGUCUGAGAGAGAGAGAGAGUGAGAGAGCUCCGGCGAGCGAGGGAGAAGGCCGCGGCAACAACAAUGUCCCAAGAGCACGGCGUGCCAGGGCCGGCUGCGGACGGACUCAAGCCCCCAGAGCGGCAGGCAGUCGACGGCGAAGAACCUCCUGGAGGCGCCGGAGACGACGACGAACGCUGGGGUGGGCGUGGAGCUUGUGGUCCACAUCCUUCGGAGCCAACGCGUAUGCGCGUGCGUGUCCAAGGCCGACGCGUCGGCGUCCAAGCACGGCCGCCGCGGGUUCGGGCGCCUCCUGGCCGGCCGCGAGGCGCAGGAGCUGUACGAGGCAGACGUGAGGAGGCCAGGAGAGCGCGGCCUCCAGCUGAUCCGGCGAGACCGCGUCACUGCCGUGCCGUCGAUGUGGUGCUGCUUGUUGGCGCCGCCUCUCGCAGCGCUGCUCUUCUUCUUCCUCUUGUUGCCUCACACAACUCUCUCUUGUUUCCUUGUUUCUCUCACGAACACAAAGACACACACCGGGGCAGAAAACACACACGCACACACACAUUCACCAGGGAGGAAAUUAGCUUUGCCUUAUCUCUCCCGGUGACAAUCACAUGCGCUACAUGGUUUCCUUCAGCCCUCACGGCCUUUUCAUUUCAUUACUCCAAUGCAGUACAUAUAUAUACACCAGGGGUAGGACACACCCACUAACCCGACCACCACGUUGGCCACUAACCAACUAACGCUACAUACUUCAUGCAGACCCAUGCACUAGCCAGCCACUACCCUCGGCAACUAAUCCCACUAGCCCAUGGACUUAUCUUUAUCCCUGGAAUCGCUCCAACGACUCAGCCAUACAACUAGCUACUCAUGCAUGCUAACAAACUCAUCCAUGAAGCUAGCUAACCACUUGCAUGCAUCUAACCAAUCCAUCCAGCCGGUGCCGCUUCGCCGUCCAUGCGCUUGCCGUACGCACGGCCGUGCCGCCUCGCGCAGCUUUGCAGCCUCUCGCUGUCAUCGGCAUCUCGCCGUGCUCGCCAUCUCACACGGCAGCUUGGCAUCACGCCUUUUUCGCACGCCUCCCCUGAACCCUUGCCGACCUACAACUUCUGAACCUACACUACAUGCCUAAAUGAAAUAAACAUGCUGAUACAAAUAUCAAGAUUAGUUCUAACAUUCACCCCCCUAAUCUUGAUAUCACAAUCGUCAUACGGAUCACCCGCAGCCACUUGUCGACGCCGUCGCAGCGCCGUACUUGCUAUGGACGACAUCAUCAAAAUGCCGAUCACCACCGCACACCAUCUUGUCGUAGACGACCCCAUCACAGCGUCCGUCACCACAUCGUCCUGCCGCACGCAGCAGCCACCUCUUGACGUGGACGGCGCCUUCGCAACGCCGAUCACCACGCCAUCAUAACCUCGCGGCAUCGCACCGAAACCGGCCAUCAGCGGUACCGCACCGCUGCCAGCCAUCACCUCGCACCGACGUCCUCCACCUCACAUGGAGUCCACCGCGUCACCGCCGUCGCAGCCGUUGCCUCCGCCCAGCACCACGGCGGCCACCAUAGCCGCCGGCACCGUCGUCGCCGCCACGGAUCAACAAGGCUCUGAUGCCAAUUGUUGGCGCCGCCUCUCGCAGCGCUGCUCUUCUUCUUCCUCUUGUUGCCUCACACAACUCUCUCUUGUUUCCUUGUUUCUCUCACGAACACAAAGACACACACCGGGGCAGAAAACACACACGCACACACACAUUCACCAGGGAGGAAAUUAGCUUUGCCUUAUCUCUCCCGGUGACAAUCACAUGCGCUACAUGGUUUCCUUCAGCCCUCACGGCCUUUUCAUUUCAUUACUCCAAUGCAGUACAUAUAUAUACACCAGGGGUAGGACACACCCACUAACCCGACCACCACGUUGGCCACUAACCAACUAACGCUACAUACUUCAUGCAGACCCAUGCACUAGCCAGCCACUACCCUCGGCAACUAAUCCCACUAGCCCAUGGACUUAUCUUUAUCCCUGGAAUCGCUCCAACGACUCAGCCAUACAACUAGCUACUCAUGCAUGCUAACAAACUCAUCCAUGAAGCUAGCUAACCACUUGCAUGCAUCUAACCAAUCCAUCCAGCCGGUGCCGCUUCGCCGUCCAUGCGCUUGCCGUACGCACGGCCGUGCCGCCUCGCGCAGCUUUGCAGCCUCUCGCUGUCAUCGGCAUCUCGCCGUGCUCGCCAUCUCACACGGCAGCUUGGCAUCACGCCUUUUUCGCACGCCUCCCCUGAACCCUUGCCGACCUACAACUUCUGAACCUACACUACAUGCCUAAACGAAAUAAACAUGCUGAUACAAAUAUCAAGAUUAGUUCUAACACUGCUGAGGUUGGCAACGACCCGGGCGCCGAGCGCCCCUGAAGGCGAGCAGCGCCGCCUCGUCCUUCCCCUCGCAGCGGAAAUGGCAGCAGCUGGAGAACCGAAGGCCAUCGCCGCCCUCCUCAACCUUCCCGUUCUUCUCAGCGGAGCAGUCGCGGCCACCGUGCGUGUCAUCCUCCAACUCUUUCCCAAGACGGCAAGACGCCGGUAAUCGCUACCUUGUUCGCCGUUGAAUGGUUAGCUGCUGCUGCUGUCCUUUCGCCUCGCUUGGUUGCUCCGGCCGGUGGCGAAGCGGCCCGCAUUGCGCGUGCGCACCUUGGCUCGGCGCUGGCGGCCGGCAGAGCAUGCCGCAACGUAGGGGAGAGGAGAGAUGCCGUGACAGCAUAUAGAUUACACACUGACAUGUGGAUUCGGGACCGAGAUAUAGUAUAGCAGUACAAGUCAAAUACCAAAUUCCGGUCAACAUGCCAUUGUGGACAAAACGAACUUCUAGUUUUCCAGGGGUGAUUUGGCUGGUUUUGGAUAGUUUUUGUUUCUUUUUUUGACAAACUGGUUUUGGAUAGUUUUUUCUUUUUUUGAUAAACUGGUUUUGGAUAGUUUUUUUUUUUUUGAAAGGUUUGUUUUGGAUAGUUGACGGUAAUAUCCCAGUUUUCUGACUUGAGGGGGUGAUGUGGCCGAAACUGGGUACUUCAUAGGGUAUCUAUACUUUUUUUUAUUUCGUGUAGGCGUGGCCUAUAAUUCACAAGAUAAUUUAAACAUUUUCUUUCUGAAUCUCCAAUACACGAGGGAUAGAGUGGAAGUCAGCGCCACAUUCAGUUUUAGUGUCGGCGCAUUCAGUUGAUCAGGUUCAGUUACUUGUUCCUUUGUGAUUCAGUCUUCCCGUUUUUUGUUCCUUUGUUCAGUCCCUGUAGCUGGAAAAUUACAGAUGAUAUGAAGCUUUCCAUUCUUCCAUGAUACAGGCUUCCGAGAGCCCUUGGAUCUGAGAUCGAAUGGUUGCAUGGCGUGAUUCUAGACCUACGGGUGUAUCAUUUUUCAGCCACUUUGUUAUUCACUGUGGUUUCGUUCCUCUGUUCAGUCACUGUGGUUGCAUCAUUUUUCAGUCUCUUGAGCCUCUCUUUCCUUCAGUUUUUCAGUUUUCCAGUUUCUUCUGUUUGUUUGAUCUUUUCUAGUCCUCAGCCGCUUAGUUGAAUCACACUUUUACCCCUCUUUCUUUAGCUUCUCAGUGUACCUAAUUUGCUUAACUUCUUUCCUAACUGUCUCAUUUUCGUUUUUUACUCUUUAAUCCUUUGUUAAUUCUUUGUCUUUGCCAUUGAUCAUUCUUUCUCCGGUCGCUGUUUCUUAUCUCUUCAAUCUUCAUUUCUCUUUUUCUUAGUCCUCAAUAUCUCUUUGGUUGGUUGGUCUUCACUCUUCAUAUAAGCAGAUAGUGAUCUGUUGGCACGUCUCCUCCCCUCCCUCGUGUCGCCCCACUCGGGCGACCCGAGGGGUGAAACCCUAACCCCGCCGCCUCCCUUCCCUCGCCGCCGCCCGAGGCAGCUGACGCCGAGCAAGCUUGGUGCGCCGUCGAUGAAGGUGGCGACGGGGCCCUCGCCUCCUCGCCUCGCCCGUGGGGGGACUCUGGAUCUGGGGCGGCGGCCCCGGCUGGUGUGGAGUCGCGGGCUUCGGCAUCCGGUGGCGCGGGCGUGAGUCGGCUGUUCUUAGCCGUGUGGACGGCGAGAUCCCCGAAGACUGCGGGCCAGCUCGCGGCAGUAUCGUCAGCUCCAACUGCGUCAGACCUAGCCGUCCCCUCUGCCCUUCUUCUCCAGCGAGCUCCUCCCCCCCUCCCAGAUCCGAUCUGCCUCGUCAUGGGGUCCCGGUCUGCUUCGGGUGGGAGCGGGUGUCAGGAUGCAGGACCGGGGGAAACCCCCAGCCAGCCAUGCCAGCGGCGACGCCCGUGGGCGCGGCGCACCUUCCCGAAGGCGUCGUUUAGGUCUUGCCCCCCAUCCCCUUCCCCUUUGUCUCCCAGGAGAAAUCCUCAAUUUUGUUGGGCAGCGGCGACGCCCUUGGCGCUGUAACCUUCUUGAAGGCGCUGUUUUGGGAACAAAGAUGGGUUGUGGGCUUCGUUGUGGUGUAGGUGGAGUGUAUCGGCGGCGGCAGCAUGCGUCCAGCGGUGGCGGUGUCUCCCUUGGUGCUGGGUCAAGUUGUUUUGGUGCUCUUCGACGGGCUGCAGUUUAUUCCUCCGAUGCCCUUGGAUCUUCCAGGACGGGAGGGGAUAGGGUUCCCCUCCUACGGUGGCUGCACUACAGGUCGUCGAGCGAGCCGAAGCUCCCAAUUUGGUCUUUGCCCUUGCUGUUGCCCAAUUGUGCAUUCUGAUCGCUCGCCCUCUUCCAAGUCAGAACUACGGCAUAUGGUGUUGCUCUGCUCUAGGUGAGUCGUCGUUGGCAUGUCGGGAAUGCCUGGUUCCGCCCAAGUGGUUUCUUCGAGGCCAUCCAUCCAGGCUCUAAGCAUGUCCAUCGCUUAACGGUGUGAUGCCUUCGAGCCAGGCGAGGAGGCAGGGGUCUUCUUUGACGAUGGAUCUGGAUGGAUGUGUCUUUCUUCAAGCCCAGGUGUUUUGGCAACGGCGUGCCUUGCAUCGUCGUCGGUGCACUCUCCUGACCAGGAUAUCGCUUUGGCCUUGGUUUUCGGCGUGCAAGAGGUUAAUGGCAUCUCCAAGCUAUAUGUUCUACGCCAAUCUUUCUAACUAGCUUGUUGUAUGUGCAUUGUGAGCUGUUCCCUGACGCCCUUGUAUCUUUGCCGUCUAUCUUCUUUUCUUUAGUUGAUGAGUGGUGUAAUUUGAAGUUGAAAUCCUGGCCGGUUGGUGGCUUUGUUAAUUUAUAAAGCCGGGUUCUGCUUGAGCCUUCGUUCUAAAAUAUAUAUAAGCAGAUGGUAAACAUGUGUUUUUUAGGUGAAUGGCCCAUUAUUUCUCUCUUUUUCUUCACUCUUCACUAUUUUUCUUAGUUUUCAGUCCUUCUCUUUGGUUAUUCUUCACUCUCCAUUUAGUUCAGUCACUGUUUUUUGGACUUGACACGCAGAAAAUCCCAAAGGAAGUAGCCCCAAACUUGACAUCCCGGAGAGCGGGCCACCGACACAAGGGCCGAGCACGGCACUGCAGGCGAUGACUGCAUCACUUCAAGCAGAGUUUGGAAGGAGUUUCUCCUCAAGACAGAUCUCACGAUAGAAACUCACGUUCUAGUUACGUUCCACUCUGUUGCAAACAAGCGUCGGGUGUCGGUAGUUUUCAAUUGUCCUCUAAAGAAUGUAGAGUGUUCAAUCUAGCUAUCUGGUAUCGUGGCGCAAACUUGUUUGCUGACUGUUGUGGGCGUGCUACGGGAAUCUAAUCCUGUGUGUGCGCGAUUACGUAGAUCAGUUUCUCGUGCCUGGCACCUACCUCCUUUUUUUUCUUCCUUUGUUGCCUGUCUUUCUGUGUGUUUUAAGAUUAUUAUCUCCGAUGGUUAAACAACAUCAUUCGAGACCUGAGGUGCAGGUAUGUUUCCCUGCUGUGCUAUUUCCCUCUCGUUCUAUUCAUUUUAAACAAUAUCACUUUGGAACAUGACAGCGUGCUAACAGCUACUCCCUCCGUUCCGAAUUACUUGUCGCAGGUUGGAUGUAUUUAGAUGUAUUUUAGUUUUAAAUACAUCUAUUUCUAUAACGAGUAAUUUAGAACGAAGGGAAUAGAACAUGACAGCAGUCUCCAAUAGACCUAUUCAUGAAUGGCCCAAUAUUCAUUUGCUGUUUGUUCUUUUAUUCAUUACCAUUUGAUUUCUUCUAGGGAACUUCACUGCCGUUUGAUGGGAGCCAUGACAUUCAUCACAAAUAGAUGGGAUUACCAGGCAAAACCUCGCUAAUAAGGCCCAUGAACACUUUAGGGCAACUCCAAUGGCCGACCCAUUUAGUUGGGUUGUGUCCGUUUGAGUCCGCACCACGCAAACACAUAUUUUAUCUGCUUUUUAUGUCCACGUGAAUGCAUUUUUGCCUUAAAUUUGGACUCGAUUUGCGUCCAUAUGUGUGUCCGCUUAGUGUUCGUCUUGGACCUGCAUGCUGCCGCCCAACCACCACCUACCGGUCCUAUUUUAUUUCACGCGUGCGCUUGGGCCCACACAUCAGCCACAGAAGCCAGUCCAUGCUUGUCCUUUUUAAUGCCACACGUGUAGUGGGAGGGGGGCGCCCAGUCCACUUCCUCAACAACCAUCUUCCGUCUUCUUCUUCGUGCCCCCUUGGUCGAUUCCUCGUUGGUGUGCCGCGCAGCUAACUUCAGCAUGUCGUCGCGCCAUGCUUGAGCCGCCGACAUGCCUUCCUCUCUACGUCUUUGUCCACCGCUGCAAGUACUUCUGGGAGCAUGGCGUGCCGAUGUGGUGGCCCGACGUGAACCUGAUGAACGGGUGGCAUCUCAAGCACGACAGGGUUCCGGUGCCGGUCUCAGACGCGCGCGGCUGGCAAAGAUCCGCCGCCAUCAUGCUCAACUCCCGGUUGAGCUCCGCCAUGACCCAGCGUACACAGUGGACUCACCGAACUGGGACGCGUGGUUCACCUCUAAGCAUGACUUGCACCGCCAAUUAAGCUUCAAGGGUGCGCCCCGUGCACCGCACGAGCUUGCCGCUCCACCACCACCGUUGGUGGUGUAGGAGGAGGAUCGGGCGGUCGAGGAUCCCUACAUUACGGACCUCGAGGAGGCCACAAGGAGGGCCAUUGAGAAGUCCGAGCACGAGGAGCUCGCCAGGUGGCCUGCCUUUCGCAAAUGUUGGCCGAAUUGGCGGCUAGAGUGGAGGCGAACGCGCCCUCACUCCUACCAAACCCGCCCGCGUCCGAGCCAGUGGAGGAGUGGUGGGAGCUGGAGCACCAAUCUUGCUUGUGGACAAGCACGGUGCCCUGCUCGCCCAUGCACGUGGCGUGCACGCCUGUGUGGUUGGGCGCGUCCGAGGAAGAGGUCAAGCGGCACGCGUUGGCUAAGCAGCAAACGCCGGCAACAUUCCAGGAGGCCUUUUCGUGGAUGGAGGUGCCGGUCUUCUUGGUCCUAACCAAAGAGGAUGACGACGACGACGCAUAGUUUUUAUUUUUCUAGUUUAAAUUAAUGUAAGACUUGACUUGCUGGCUGUUUUUUAUAAUUCGAAUUUGCGUCCAAAUGUACAAUGUGUCUGUUCACGUUGGCCGCAUUUAUGAGCCGGCGGACAAAACCAACUCUGGAAAAAAAAGAGGAUAAAAUCCGCAUUCAUUUGGGUCUCUCGUUGGAGUUCCCUUGCAAUAUACUCCCUCCAUUUCAAAUUACUUGCCGCGUGUAUGGAUGUAUCUAGAUGUAUUUUAGUUCUAGAUACAUUCAUUUCAGCGAGUAAUUUGGAACGAAGGGAGUAACAUCAACCACGCGGAGCCGGUGUUGCACUAGCUGCAUGGAAGCCCCCUUGCGGCGCCGUCCCUCCCCCUUGCAUCGUCCCAUGUCGCGGUCACAACAUCGCUCCUCACCUGUCGCAGCAGCCGCGCACCUUUGCCGUAGCCGCCCCACCUCGUCCUCGUGUUCGCUCGUCAUCGGUGCGCCCGCCGGUUCGCAACGUCCUCGCUCGUCCGCUUGCAGUGCUGGCCCACAAGGGAGACGCGUGCGGGUGUGGGAGCGACCGCUCGCACGCUGCGAUCGACCACCCAAUUCUAGCCGUUUACUAUUUGCCUUCUCUUCUCUUAGUACGCUGCUCUGUAGAAAGAAAAAAAAUAACGGCCUCAAUGCUAAGAGGCGUAGCAAGAUGACUCGUGACUGUCUGAAUCGGAGAGGAGUGCUGGAGGUGAACAGAUAUGAAAUAUCGUUAGGACUCCGACAGACCUACUUCUGCGCCCAUUUCAUUUCGCCUCUCAAAUUUCGAUUCGACAGUGGUGCGGAGUUCUGCGAACAGACAUCGUACGUUAUUACGACUGCCUACGCGUGUACCCCGCUACAAAGGGGGCGGGACAAAACCUUCGAUGGUGUAAUAGUUACGAUAACUAGGUCCCAACAUUGAAGUUGCCACCAAUCCAUUGUCGUCCAGCGGUUAGGAUACCUGGCUUUCACCCAGGCGACCCGGGUUCGAUUCCCGGCAAUGGAAUUUUUAUUUCCAUUGAAACAUUUGUUCCUUCGGGUGUCCUUUUCCUUUCCUGAUUAUUCUCUAGAGCAGCAGUGGUAUCUUUUAUUUAUUUGUUGCAAAAAAUACUUCGUAGCUUUUUUCAGCAAUUUGUUCUUCAAAAAUUUUAUCAGAGCUACCAACGAUCCGAAUUUUAUUAGAGUUGCCGAGAAUUCUUUGUUUAUAAUGUGCUUACAGUUAGCACACGACACUUGACAGCAGUCUCUCAGUACAACUAGCUGAUGCUAUCGCAAAAAAAAAAAGUACAACUAGCUGAUGGAUCAGGACUCGGCAUUUGCUCAAUAUUCAUCCUUCGAAUCAGGACUCGGCAUUUGCUCAAUAUUCAUCCUCCGUUUACAUUCUUAUUGACGGGAGCGAUAAAACUGAUCAGAAUUCAUCGGAAUCUCCAGGCAAAAAUACCUUGCUACGAAGGCACAUUAAGACUUUACAAUGCAGUAUCCUCCUUCCAACACCAGCUAAAAACUUCCAAUUUCCAUCCCAGAUGCAAAAUACUGAAGCGUGCCACUCAAACUACAGAAGACUAAUACAAUACAGACUCGCUGUAGACUAGUAAGUACAGUAGUGAUAACCACAAUGACAGCUGAGCUGUGUAACGGGCCAAAGGAAUGGAUGAAUAAGGCAAACUGCCACUGUUCAUGUGCAAGAAAAUAUGACGGACAUUUAAAAGAAAAAUGCCGGACAGGCGACGGGUAGAUGACCCCGCAGAGGCUCUUAGACCUAGGACCAUAUGCAGGCAAAAGCUUUGGAACCGGUGUUUAGUUUGCUGUGAUAGUUCGCUGUGCAGAGCGGUUGAUUAACCCCAUUUGACGAUAGCCGAACCCCAGAUGAGUCCAGCUCCGAAGCCAGAUGCUGCGAUGACGUCGCCCGCCUUCACCUUCCCGCCACGAACAGCCUCGUCCAGUGCUAAUGGAAUGGAUGCCGCACUGGUGUUGCCGUAAUUAGCAAGGUUUGAGAUGACUUUUUCCGAUGGGAUAGAUAACCGACUGGCAGCAGCAUCGAUGAUCCGCUGGUUAGCCUGCAAAACAUCGAUGGGGUCAGUUAGAUCGAUGCUUCAGGUCAAAGAGUUUCAUGGUCGAUAGGCUAGGAUACUCACUUGGUGAAGCAACAGCCAAUCUAUACUGGAGGCAGGUAGGCCGGCCUCCUCUAGCGCCUUCUCGAUGGACUGUGGGACACAACGUACAGCAAAGCGGAAAACCUCCUUUCCGUUCAUUUCGAUGCAAGAAAAGUUGGUCUUCUUCGGUGGGAAGCCAGGGACACCAUUGGUCUUGGAUAAGAUUGAGUCAGCGUUCGAUGAUGAACAAUGCAGGUGCCUACAUAAGUAUAAUCAACAAACAUAAGAAAGUGACCUACUAGAAAUGUAACCUCAACACUUUCUAGAAAGAAGGCAUACUUUUGCCCAUGGCCAUCGCUUUGCACACAAAAACCUAGCAAGCCAUCUUCAUCAGCAUUGCAUGACUGCAAUAUCGAGGAUUUAAAAUUAGACAAAAGAACUUGCACAAGGAUCUUGCAAAUUACAAUGCCACGCUACCACCGAACACCUCAUACCUGUACUACAACAAAUUGCAGUGUCUUACCCAAUAGACUGUACAGAAAGACUACAGCCAACUGAACCAUGGAAAGCAGACCAACAUUUCAGCAAAAAAGAACAGAUACCUGGACCAAAACAGCACCAGCAGCAUCGCCAAAGAGGAUGCAUGUACCUCUAUCUGUCCAAUCCACAUAUUGCGAAAGAGCAUCUGCCCCAACUACAAGGACAUUUUGAAUACCUCCACCUACAAUAGUGGCAGAUAAUAAAUUAUUAAUCCACCAAGGCGCUCAAUAGCAACCCAUUGUGAAUAUUUAACAAGGGAAUUACCUUUGAUAAAACGAGUAGCUGUAAUUAAACCAACAAUGAACCCACUACAGGCAGCAGUGAUAUCAAAGCCAAAUGCAUUUGUGCACCCCACCUCCGCCAGCACCUGUUUUCAUUUUAUCUUGAUGUUAUUUAUGCAAAAAUGGGCAUAUAAAAUGCAUAAAGCACUAGAGCAGAGUGGCACCGAUGAUUAGAACAACUAAUUUACUGAUAGUACAAAACAUUAACAGUACUACUAAACAGGGAAAAAAAUUGAAUGAAAAUACAAAAAUGGAAAGACCAUUACAUAGUUCAUAUUAUUUGAUGACUACGUUAUUAUCAAAUAUAGGCUGCUCCACAAAGUAUGCCAGUGAAACAUUUUUAGUUUUGACUAUCAAAUAUAGAUAUGUAAUAACUUCGAAGUACCAAUAUAGUCAUCACAAAUGAAACAUACUAUCAUCAUCUAUAUUCAUUAUCAUGCAUUACAACAUACUUCCAUAGAAAUCACUUUUCUCUGUUCUAAAUACAUCCCAUUCUAGCUUCUGGAUUUUUGUUCCGAAAUACAUGCCAAUUUACAAGUUUGAGGCAACUACUGCGGUACUGCCAUUGUUUGCUUCGCAUAUCCCUAACAUUCAUUAAUAUACUAGAUUAACACAUAACAUCCAACAUUCAUAAUGAGCUAAUUAUGGAUGCAAAUGUAAUGUGUCGUAUACAUGCCUUAGUUGGAGUGCCCUAAAUUACAGCCAUUCAGGAACAGAGGGAGUAUUGUUCAAAGACUGAAAGCAGUACUUUGGAGACUAUCAGUACUGAAGUGAAAAAAUUUACUGACAGAGAGUAUUACAAUUUAAAAAGAAAUUCCUCAGAUAAAUUAACAAUAAGAUAGUACCAUUUCUACCCCAACUUAUGAUAUACAGUAAAUAAAAAGGAAAAUAUUCUCAAGCAUGAGAUGACUCGCAUUAAAAGCAGGAAUAUGCAGUCGCUCAGACAUAUCAUUGUUUUAAAUAACAUAAGUAGUUUGCAUAUAAGUAUGACAACUACUGUAUUCUUGAGAAAAGACAGGGAUGGCAACUACUAGAAUGAUUUAAUAGAUGUGCAUAGCCAUACCCGACCAGCACCGCCAAAGAGAUCGUCUGGAGUAGAUGUGCAAAAGAGAACAAGGUCAACAUCUUCAGGUCUUACUUGGGCCAUCUCAAGUGCCCUUUGUGCUGCCUUUACUGAAAGCCCUCCCAGUGUUUCGCCUCCUAACACAUUUGAAAAGAACAAAUUACUCCUGAAACAUAAACAAAUGAAAUAUGUCUCCAAAACGGAAUUGUUGCGACUCCUAAGCUUUCUUCCACAAAAUCUGAUACUCUGUUACCUGCCUACUUACACACAGUGGGGCCAACUCCCAAUGAUGUUAUUGAAACGUCUUAUAAUUAGAUAUGUACAUUGACUUAAAAAACAUGUGAAAAGCGCUGCGUUUAUUAUAUACUUAUAAGCCAGCCAGGAAUUUGGUAAGAUACCAAGACAUAAAUUUAUCAGCAUUUAUAUUUACUCUUCUAAAAUCGUUUAUUUAUUAUAUUUACAAUAGCUCGUGCCCACGUCACAUGGUGUUGCUAGUCCUUAACCAUGUAUGCAGAAGGGUGCUUUGCGACAAAUGCUCAUUUACAAUCAUUAAUUGAAUCGAUGUGCGUUCACUAAACUACUUCAACCACCAACAACGACGUGACACACAUAUCAUCCACAAGUUGUCACCUAGCUAAGAGAAAGAAAACAAAUACUACUCAGAAGUAACCAGUAUACAUCAUGCCAGAGGGGCCACAAUUGGCCUGAAUCAGGCUAGCUUACUGAACUAGGAGGGAAAGAAGUGUAAUAGAAAAUACCUGAAAGAACCCGCCUGUUCCGAAUCCCAGUCCGCGCCGCGAUCCAUUCAUCGGACGUUUCAACAAAUUUUGAAAGGUCGUCAUUUGAAAUACAAAGUGAUGGAGUGGCCGAUCCGCUUCCGAUGAGCUUUGAGCCCAUGCCAACCACCCUGCAAUUUCUCAUGGCCGUUAAGAAAUGUUCUACCACGGUAAAUCCUAAAUCAUGUUAACAAUAAUUGAGAUGAGUGAGCCCAGCAACACAGUUGGAUCAAGACACAAGCAACAGCAUUGUGGCACUGCCUACUGCACAGUGAGCUACAAAAAUAGCACCAUCUGCCGCAGCAUUUAUGAGCAAGCUGGGCAGAUCCCCAUCCAUGGUCAUGGAUUGGAGACCACGAGUAUUGCUGGGGUCUAGCGAGCUACCAUCUGCACGACGGCUAUGCAUGAGGGCGACCUAUUCUGGUGACACGCAGUAAGACUAGUGAGAACAAGCAUCGUGGCACCAUCGCUAUAGUACCAAAGAGCAGAAGCUUCUGAACGGUGAUGAGCAUCCGAUCUGGCUACAUAGAACUGCUUCGUUUCCAUCUUAAAACUCCCGUAUAAACCCGUAGCGGUACCGAAAGGAAGGCCCCAGAAUAACCAAAUUCUGCAGCGCGAGCCAACGCAGGCUAAUAAAUGCGAAAGUGGCGCAGAUAAGGGUGGUAGUUGAACCUCCUACCGGAAAGCCACUCACCGACUAACCAAAUCACAUAAGCGAGCACCUGAUUGAGACCAAAACCUGAGCGAAUUGAAACCAAAACCCGAGCCGAAUCACGGACAGAUCAAACUGAAAAUCACGCCCUACUAGUGAAAUCUCCUCGGAAUCAGACAAUGAGGUGCUGGGAGGAAGAUCCUCAGUAAACGAACAGCGCGAGGACAGCCUGAAUUCAUGUUAACAGAGAUUGGAGAAGCAGAGCACAAGCAAUGACUGAGUGAUUCACGUCUCGGCGCGUCGACAUUGCAGGUAGUGAGGCGCGUGAGCGGGGGCAGUGGCGCGGCGUUACCUGGGGAGGCGGGGCCUGGGCGCGGCCGGCGCGACCACGCUGUCGUCGACGGCGGAGGCGCAGCACCGCAGCUGCGCCGCCACGGAGGCCUUAGCGGCUGCGGCCACCGGAGGGGAUCGGAGGAAGCCGGGCCGGUGCCCUGCGCGCGCCCGCGCGCAGGGGAGCGCGGCCGCGGCCCGCGGCGGCGCGAUGCCGGAGGCGGCCACCAUGGCGCGGGCAGCCGGAGAUCUCGCUGCGGCGGCGGCGGCCCCGAGUAAGAGUGAGGGGAGAAUCAGUUGAAAAGGCUAAGAAGGAUGAGCACGGGUCGGCGGCGGGUGCGAGGGGGAGCGUGGCCGGGGGAGUGGAUAUAGGGGCGGCGGCGNNNNNNNNNNNNNNNNNNNNNNNNNNNNNNNNNNNNNNNNNNNNNNNNNNNNNNNNNNNNNNNNNNNNNNNNNNNNNNNNNNNNNNNNNNNNNNNNNNNNNNNNNNNNNNNNNNNNNNNNNNNNNNNNNNNNNNNNNNNNNNNNNNNNNNNNNNNNNNNNNNNNNNNNNNNNNNNNNNNNNNNNNNNNNNNNNNNNNNNNNNNNNNNNNNNNNNNNNNNNNNNNNNNNNNNNNNNNNNNNNNNNNNNNNNNNNNNNNNNNNNNNNNNNNNNNNNNNNNNNNNNNNNNNNNNNNNNNNNNNNNNNNNNNNNNNNNNNNNNNNNNNNNNNNNNNNNNNNNNNNNNNNNNNNNNNNNNNNNNNNNNNNNNNNNNNNNNNNNNNNNNNNNNNNNNNNNNNNNNNNNNNNNNNNNNNNNNNNNNNNNNNNNNNNNNNNNNNNNNNNNNNNNNNNNNNNNNNNNNNNNNNNNNNNNNNNNNNNNNNNNNGACUGACUCACCCACACCCUAUGCGGACUGGCCUCGCCUCGGGUUGGACGGACCGGUGGUACUGGUGGUGGAGCACCCCACGCCGUUUUCCCCUAGUUCUCGACGGAAACCGGCCUACCACAUCGUCGGGGAUACCAUCCAGCGGAAAGGGAAAGCGGUCUGCGGUCGACACGAUGCGGCGCGUACGCUCAUUUUGGGCGCGUGCGCGUCAGAGUACCGUGUGGUCGUAUCCAAGGACUCCGCCGUGGUACCGUGCAGCGCGGCGCCACGUGGCGGUCGGUCGCGGAUGUCAUUGCCCAGCUUCGGACGCAUCGGUCGCGAUCGUGCGUACAGCACCACCUUUGGCGCCGGGCCAGCAGCAACUGUAGCGUACUAGCGUUAACGCCUCCCUCCCUCACCCUCGGUCGCAUCGCUGGUCGCCGGUUAACCACAGGGCCUGUUUUUGCUCGCCAAGACCACAUCCACAUGGACCGUUGAUUCCUAGUACCGGUCGGUCAUCAGCGAACCACCAAACCGCUUUCACUACUACAGUACAAACUUCGACAUGUCGUGUUUUUUCCCGUUUUUUUCCCCUUUGCAAAGACUCUAUCCUCACAUUCUUUUCUUACACUAGAACUCCGGUACGUCACGCAAAUUGGAAUUUCAAUUGCACCGCACAAAUUCGCAGGAGCUUGUUGUGUGGAUUGAUCACACUGAUGCGAUGUUGGUUUCAUAAGAAUAUAAAACGCAGUUGGGUGCAAUUAAAUCAUUGUAAAUGUGAAUCACAACCGUCUAGACCAUUGGUAUCAAUAUCAAUCAACGGCUGAUAUCACGCCUCAAGCCUAGGAUUAAUAAUUUUCAAAAUCGAUACACUAUAUAGUAGUGUAGAUAUUUUGUCAAACUUUGAACCAUUUGACUUCACACAAACUUUAUCCGCCUUAUUGCCAAACACGGUUUUCAAGCAUAGAGAGAGUGAGGGCAUCGGUUAAGAAGGCUAGCUUCACUUGUCGGUCCGCAUAGUCAAUGUAGUAUAUGGCAUGCCACAUAUGAGUUGCACGCCUAUGUAAGGAUAUUGAUUGCUUCUUGAUUGAAGUCGGUACAUGAUGCUGGACUCCCUUUGAAGACAAUUAUCUCAUAAACGAAAAUAAAUGUAUUAAUUUGGAACCACAAAUGAGAGUCGUACCGUUUGAUAUCAUCCUAUUUGGAAAUAUUGUAUCCACACUAGAAGGUUAUACACCAACUGGGGGGGGGCAUCAUGGAGGUGGGAGAGUUGUGAGAUUCUCAAUUACUCGGUACAGGGAAGUAAACUCUUAAUAAUCUAGAACCAUAAAUGAGCAUUACACCGUUCAAACUAGAAAGGUUAUACACCAACGCGGGGUGAGAGUUGUGGAGGUAGAAAAGCUACUAUGAGAUUGUCAACUAUCCGGUAAAAAUGCCUUAAUUCGGACUAGAAUAAAAGCUACUAUGAGCUAAAAUAUUGUUGUCCUCGUUUUUGGGAAUAUUGUAUCCAAACUAGAAAGUUAUACACCAACGCUGGGUGAGAAUUAUGGAGGUAGAAGAGCUAUGAGGUUCUAUAGCGAUAUGUGAGAUCUUGUGUUGGUUGUCAUGGUAGCUCUUUGAAAUCAUUUAAAUAUGGAGAGAAAAAAGUUUGCAUUUCAAAGAUGAAGUUUCUUACUUCUAUGUCAACCCAAUGUGGCAAUAGUAUCGUGCCCUGCCUAACCAAAUAAAUCUCGCUGUCACAUAUGUACGAUGAGAAAACCUAACUUCGCUGUCUCAAGGAGAUGACAUGAAUCUAUGAGGGAUCCUUGCCUAAUCCUCUCAACGGAUGAACUUGAGGAGAAUCGAAAACUUGAAGACUGACUCGAAGAAACGGUGACAUUCGUCUCAGUGCCACCCCUGCAAGGACUACAACCCUAAACUAUCUACUAGCCGAAGAUGAGGCACCGAGAUUCUCCCCCCACCACCAACCGGCGAAGCGACAAGCAGAUAGGAUGCGAAUAUACAGGCUUGCUGAUGGAGAUGAAGGAUAGGAAGAUUUUGCCCUAGUCGCCUGGCGAGAGAGGAAACAAAGGCAAUGGAACGGUUUAACUCUCUUCCCCUAAACAAACGGGCGACCCUACGCGUCCGCCGGCAGAAAUUUAAAAAAGAUCCGCCGCCUCCCUAACCAUUGGAUGGACACAUUAAUGACCAUCCGAUCUAUCAAAAUAAGCAGCCAUACUUUGCAACAAUCUGCUUGUUGCAAUCACCUGAGCCUGUAUUUUUUUAUUUUUAUUUUGCAACAGAGAUCUUAUUGCAGAAUUUUUUCACAACGAAGAUCUUGUUGCAAAAAUUUUAGAGACCACCAUUGUUUGUACUUUUUAAUUUUCUGCAACAGAGCUCUUGCUUCGGAAUUUUUUCGCAACAAAGGUCUUGUUGCAGAAUUUUAAAAAUCUCACGACACGAGCAUGUAGUUUUUUGUUUUUACAACAGUGGCCCCGUUGCAAAAAAUUUAAAGAUCGAUUGCAACAGGGGACAUGUCCUUGAAUUUUUUUGUAACAGAGUUUAUGUUCCAAAAAUUAUUUUCGAAACGGAGCCCGUGAAAUUAAGGAGAUGAUGCCGCUCGCAGCAUCGAUGUCCCUGUAUUUUUUUGCAAUAAAGAUCUUAUUGCAAGAAUUUUUUCGCAACGGAUAUCUUGUUGCAGAAAUUUUAAAGAUCACCCUUGUCUAUAUUUUUUCAUUUUCUGCAACAGAGAUCUUGUUUCGGAAUUUCUUCGCAACAAAGGUCUUGCUGCAGAUCUUGAGGGGGUUCAGGUCCAGAUCCCGUAACACACCAACUGUUUGUAGGAUGUGAUGUGUGAUGCUAUGUGGUCCAAACAGCGCUAUGUGCUAUCCAUGCCACACGAUCAUCACGGAUUGAACGAUGUACGAGGCGGCCGACGCGUGAGAGUUAUCCGCCGGCUGAACCAAAACUUUUUCCUAAACAAAUGCAAGACUAUUUUUCUUGAGGGAACAAAUGCAAGACUAGUUUAGUUUGAUUUUAGCCAAUUUUUUCUUAAAUUUUAGCCAAAUCCUUUUUCUCAACGUAUUUGUCUCGACGAAUCUGAAGAUUUUACACCAUGUGAGCCCUUUUGCUGACCCCCCGGUAAUCUUCGUGGGGCUGACUGAUCGGACGCCCAGGAAUCGUUGACCCUCCACGUGUCCUCCAUCCGACCAUCAGUCCCCUCCCACCCAAUCCCCAAAUCCACACACCCUUUCCCUUCCCACGCAUCCAAACCCCAAACCCCCACCCGCACCGGCGUUCGCCGGAGAACCUCCCCGCCGGCCGCCGCCAUGCCGCCGCCUCUCCAGGCCCACCGCAUGCUCCUCUCCCACCGCCGCACAUCCCCUAUCCCCCGCCGCCGCUUCACCGCGGUCUCUUCCCUCUCCUCCGCCCCCGCCAAGACCCUGGCCCCGGGCCAGCCCGCCUCCUCCAUCCUCUCCAUCCGCGAGUCGCUCCUGUCCGGCGAGAGGACCGCCGCCGACAUCACCUCCGAGUACCUCUCCCGCCUCCGCCGCACCGAGCCGAGCCUGCGCAGCUUCAUCCACGUGGCCGACGCCGCCGCCGAGCGGGAGGCCGAGGAGCUCGACCGGAGGAUUUCCUCCGGCGGGCGGGAUGCGGUGGGGCCGCUCGCCGGGGUGCUCGUGGGCGUCAAGGACAACAUCUGCACCGCCAGCAUGCCAUCCACCGGCGGGUCGCGGAUACUGGACGGGUUCCAGCCCGCGUACGACGCCACGGCCGUGCGGCGGCUGCGCGAGGCGGGCGCCAUUGUGGUGGGGAAGACUAACCUCGACGAGUUCGGCAUGGGGAGCACCACCGAGGGCUCUGGGUUUCAGGUACGGAGGCUCACUGAUCAGAUCCUGUACACUGUUUUGUCCAAGUUCGUUUAAGUUUGCAUCAUCAGAAAAAAGUGCUAAGAAUGGUAGUAGAUGCGUAUUUAUGCUGGUCCGUAGAGGUCGAUAAAAUCAAAUUUGGUUAGUUUGUAUAUUGAAUUGCGAAUACAUGUUGCAAGUGUUUAGUUCGUUGAGGUCAAUCAAAUCAAACUUGGGACUCGGCGACUCAGUUCAUCUGUUGAAUAGCAAAUACAUGUUGCAAGUGUUUAUUGAUGUGAAUGGAACUUCUUGCUGCUUCCGACUUUCUUAAACAUAACCUCGAGUUUCCUCUGUUGCAUAAUAAUGCGGCCCUAUCAGAUGACAUAAAAUUAACGGAUAACACUGAUGGUAUGCAGGUGACAACAAACCCUUGGGAUGAUUCGCGCGUGCCUGGCGGAUCCUCAGGUGGUUCUGCUUCUGCGGUUUCUGCUAGACAGUGUGUGGUGUCCUUAGGGAGUGAUACAGGUGGAAGUGUGAGGCAACCGGCAUCGUUUUGUGGUGUGGUAGGGUUAAAGCCAACUUAUGGCCGGGUAUCUCGUUUCGGCCUCAUGGCUUAUGCUUCAUCACUGGAUGUUGUGGGAUGCUUUGGAUCAUCAGUUUUUGACACUGCAACCAUAUUGUCCGUCAUUGCUGGCCAUGACAAAAUGGAUUCAACCAGUAGCUCUCAUGUAAGGAAACUGAAACUUAACCUUAAUGUACAUCUUACAUUUUUUGUUUGUUUCAAUCUAGAUAUGUUUUCAUCUGAUUUAGCUGGCAAUCGCUUAUACUUUCCUUAGGUUCAUCGAGUUCAAUAACUAUGACUAAGAAACAGCCUUUUAGCAUGCAAGCAUGUAGUACGAAACAUGAAAGGAAGUCAUAUGGCUAUUAACUUGCCUGAGCGACCUUAUCUUGUGUUGACAACUGUCAUUCUUAAUGAGGAGGAUUCUCUCGUUGUACGUUUCCUUCUCAUGAAUCAUGAUUUUUGUGUGUCACUUGUUUGAUGCACUUAUGGUGUUGAACUGUUGCCGACCACUGUGAAAUGCUAUUGCCCAUUUACUUUGUGAGGGCAGAAGGACUACAUACUGCUGCGCAUCUCAACCAUAUAAAAUGCUAAUGCAAUUCACUAUGUGUAAGAAAACGUGCAAUGCACGCUCGUGGUGUUUCUUUGCAAGGCGUUAAAAUUCAACAUUUAUUUUUUGCUGGAUCCACAUCUAUGCAAGCGGAUCUGGAGCUAGUAGAUCUCGAAGCAAGACGGCAAUAAGCUUGGUUCAUCACUGCUCAAUCUGAUCUCUUGUAUCACUUUCUCAGGAUGUUCCAGACUAUAGAUCAGACUUGGCAUCUCUAAGUUUACUAGAAUCAAAACCAUUAAAUAGUGUGAGAAUUGGGAUUAUCCAAGAAACUCUUGGAGAGGGUGUGGAUGCUGGAGUCAUAUCAUCAAUCAGGGCUGCUGCUUCACAUCUGGAACAGCUGGGAUCAGUAGUGGAAGAGGUUUGUUGCUUCCCUUUUGCUGGAAAAAGAAUAAAAUAAAUAAAUAUGGAUAUUUUUUGUUGUCCUAUGAGGGAUUUCUGAAAGAUAAUAAUCACCGAACUAUUCUUUUCAAUACUUUUCAGGUUUCUAUGCCUUCAUUUUCUCUUGGCUUACCAGCAUAUUACAUACUGGCCUCUUCUGAAGCUUCAUCUAAUUUGUCACGCUAUGAUGGCAUCAGGUGGUACCUGAACCUUUCCUUUUCCAAUAAUUUUUUCCAUUCUAUAAAUAUUUAUCUUCUUGGAAAGUCAUUUUCAGGUAUGGGCAGCAGGUUUCAGCUGACGACUUGAAUGAGCUGUACGGAAAUUCCCGGGCUAAUGGUCUCGGUCAUGAGGUACAGUGCCUCCACCGGCCUAACCAAGAUCCUCCUCCCCACUUCUCAGUAUCUGUCCUUAUUGUGAAUAAAUGAACAUUAGUACUACAGAAAUGGAAGCAUAGAAAGCUAUCACACCUGUUUGUUGUGUAUGAGUUUAGAAAGCUGAUUUAACAUGCAUAAAUAAACUUCUGUUCUGUAACCCAACCAACUCUGCACAUGUCAAUCUCAUUGUAGGUGGCACCAUGCUAGUUGGAAUGCUAAUUGUAUUGAUAUUAUGUGUAACACGCCAGCGGAAUCUAUAAUCCCUAAGCAAGGAAAAAGGAUAAUAGUUCUGUAUACAACGUUGGGUAUUACUUAUAUAUUUUGUGUUUUAAGUGGACUACAGUAAUGGUUUGCGGUAAAUCACAUGAAGUAUAAUUUUGAUUGCUCUUUUCAGGUCAAAAUGAGAAUUUUGAUGGGAACUUAUGCAUUAUCUGCUGGAUACUAUGAUGCAUACUACAAGCGAGCACAACAGGUAACCAUAGGAAGGGAGCACCCAGUGCGAAUUUGCACUUUGAUUAUUUUUACCUCUUAACUGACAAAAUUUGCACUGUAGUAGGUGAGGACGCUGGUUAAGAAAAGCUUCGAAGAAGCUUUGGGAAAAUAUGAUAUUCUUAUUUCACCUGCUGCUCCAUCAGCAGCCUACAAGAUAGGUAUGGUAUUAUCUGCUCACCUGUAAUCCUGUCCUCCCUAAAAGAAGUAUGGUCCCUUCCCUGCUUUCCUUUCACAUUGAAAACGUGAGCCCUUUUGGCAGGCGAAAAGACAAAUGAUCCAUUAGCUAUGUACGCCGGAGACAUCAUGACGGUAAUAAACUCUUGAAUGCACUUUUUUUUUACAUAUAACCGCAGAAUUAUCUCUGUUUGCUCCAAAGUAAUAGUAACGUUGCCUGCUGCAUCGUGCGCCUUUUAGUUAUUGCAAAUAUAGUUUAACAUAUUGGUAAAACUGCCAGCUGAAAUUGAAUUCUUUCCACCGUUAUUUUGCGUGUUAAAAGUUACCAUGGUAAUGAGAUCUUAAAGAGCGCAGUGCAAAUCUGGUAUGGCUGAUGCAGGUGAAUGUUAACAUGGCUGGGCUUCCUGCAUUGGUUGUGCCUUGUGGAUUCGUCCAAGGUGGAUCUGCUGGUCUCCCAGUCGGACUUCAGAUGAUUGGAUCUCCCUUCAGUGAGGUAAAAUAUAUUGCUAUUGCCUCUCUGAACGGCAUAUCAUCAUUCCAGGACCAGUGUAGUUCCCCUUUCAGUUGUUUCUACCUAUUUUCUUAAAUCAAGUGAUUCAAUUGAUGACCAACGUUUUCAUAAUUUACAGGGGAAAUUGCUGGAAGUAGGCCACAUCUUCGAGCAAACGCUGCAGGAUCUCAGCUUUGUCCCACCACUGGUGGCAGAUAACUAGCGCCCUUCUCCUGUCUCGUUCAAGCGGUUCCUAGGGCUGCACGGGUCUUAGAGGGUCCCUCUUUUCAUUCGUUCCUGAAGUUUUGAGCUAUAUUUCAUUGUUGUAUGCCGAGGAAACCGGUUCUGCGCAAUGGGGGUGGUCGGUGGAGAUCUCUCCCUCGUGGGGGAGUUGUUGAGAAACAAAAUGAGACAGGUACAUGUGCUGUUUCUGCAAGCCAACUGCUGGAUGCAGUGCUCGCAUUCAGUGUCUGCCCACAUAGUAGAUGAUAAUUUUUUUGUAACCCUGGUUCACAUCAGUGAUAUUUUGCAAAUCCUUUUGAUUGAUUGACUGAUAAUAGUGCAAGCUGUUCAUGGCUUCAUGCCCACCGCGUUUUCGUGAUAAUCGGUGAUCUGUCUGCUCCUCUUUGAGAAAACAGUCAACUCUGGCAGUCUGUGCUUUCAACAGUCUUCUGAUCUGUAUGCGGUUGCUGAGCUGUGCUAUGAUUCGUUGUUGAAAAUGAUCAUCUAAUGAUAUUUUUGAGGUUUCAAAAAAAUCUGAAAAAAGUAUACACACAAUACAUAUUUCUUUGUUUUUGUAUUUACAUAUUUCUUUGUUUUUUUGUGCAUCUCACGCCAAAACGUAUCUCUUAAUGAAAUUUUACAAGAAUGCACCCCCUCUCGUUUGUUUAUUUUUGCUCCGCAUAUAAGAUUUGUUUGAAGUCAAACUACACGAAAAUUGAUCAUAUGUAUAUGAAAAGAAUAUCAACAUCUACAAUAGUAAAGUUAUAUAGGAUGAAAAUUAAUUUCAUAAUGCAUCUAAUGAUAUUGAUUUCAUAUUGCGAAAGUUGAUAUUUUUUCCUAUGUAGGUCAAACUCUACAAAGUGUAAGAAGCAGAGGGAGCAUACAUAUCUAAGGUGUGUGUAUGUUUUUUUCAAGUUAAAAAAAAAUCUCAUUUUCGUUUUAUUAAAGUUUGGGCUCCAUGAAGCUCAAGGGCAAGAAAUCGUCUCAGAAAAAGCAAGUCAAACGAACGCUAUAAAAUAGGCAAAAGCAGGUCCCAAAAAAAUUAAUGUCGAUCUUUUAAUUUACUUCACAUAAAUUCAGAAUUUUGUGUUUAUUUGGUUCCAAGCCGUAACGCAACAACUAAUUCCUCCAAGAAAAGCUGAGAAAGGAAUACAGUAGCUGCCAAAGAGAUACACACAACCAGAAAGAAAGAUACAGACCAGAGUGGAAGGUACAGAGCUGGUUCACAGCGAAGCGUGCCAAAAUACAGGUGCACAACGUCUGGAUAAUAAAUAUGCAACUAAAACUGAGCGUGCAGGGGAACGAAAUACGGUACAAAAGAAUUUUUACUACUGCACAUAGCCACUAGUUUCACCAUCAUUGUUUGGUUCCCAAAGUACAGAGAGAGAUUAUUUUGGGUCUUGGAUGGCCAUAAUUUUAGGCUGCACACAGCCUGAAACAAAAACCUCCGCCACUCUAUAUAAACAGAUUCAAUCCUGGAGCUCCAGCACCAGAACUUAUUGUUUCCACCGCUGCAAGGAGGAAAAACAAUACAACGUUAGAGAAAGAGAG
rnacentral:lncRNA from 1 species